GACGGAGGGUGCUAGCGUUGUUCGGAAUCACUGGGCGUAAAGGGCGUGUAGGCGGGAAUGUAAGUCGGGCGUGAAAUCCCUAGGCUCAACCUAGGAACUGCACCCGAAACUGCGUUUCUUGAGUAUCGGAGAGGAAAGCGGAAUACCUGGUGUAGAGGUGAAAUUCGUAGAUAUCAGGUGGAACACCAGUGGCGAAGGCGGCUUUCUGGACGAUAACUGACGCUGAGACGCGAAAGCGUGGGGAGCAAACAGG
rnacentral:rRNA from 1 species